rnacentral:lncRNA from 1 species
CUUUUUACUUCUCUCUCCCUCUCUUUUUUCCCACCCUCCACGACAAUCGAGAACAAUCCAGCUCUUGAGAUGGAUUCGGCUGUUCUAAUGUGAGGCCCCGGAGGCGAAAUGUUCAAACAGAUUGAAAGAAAAACAUGUCAGCGCUCAGGGUUCACUGUUUGCAGUUUUUUCGCCCUGCCUGUCACUCUUUUGGCCGGUGAGAUAAAAGCAGAGAGGGGAUGAGCGCACUGCUCUUGGGGCAAUAUUGCCAUCUGCUGGUGCCUGAAAGGUGCUUACAGUUAUUUUCAGCUCAAAGUGAUUUGUUUCUGGGAACAACUGACUUCAUCCCUCUGAAUAGUGAGUGAUAUCAACAGCAAAACAUGACAUGGAUCAAAUGGAACAGCACUUACAUAUGAAAAGACUCUGAUUAUGUCUGACAGACAGCAGGGGUCAUUCAGUUUUAGGGCAAUUUAGGGCAAUAAUGCUGCUGUUCAGGAUAUUGAAAAAAGAAACUACAUAAGAUUGUAAAGGUUUUUUGUCUACUUUGAGCUACUUUGAGCUGGAUAACGGUGGAAAAAAGUGAUUUAUUGGGGCAAAUUAUGCCCCGUGUCAGCCAGUCUGAAAGGCGUUUGGACAAGCUGUUAAAAUUUCUGGAUCUCUGAAUGCUGUGGGAGGGUGGAGGUGUGCUAUUCAUCAAAGCUUCCACACUGUGCUGAACCACUUUCGCUCGGCCAGAACACCCCCCCGGGCGUCGCUCCUCCGCCAGUGACCCCCAGUGCAGCCAUUAUUUUCUGCAUUAAUGAUGAUGCCGCCUCUCUGCAGCAGGAGAUGAGCUUUGUGUCUCGCGGCAUAUCAAUACUGAUUAUGAGCAACGACAGUCUCCCCGUCAGCACGUGAAACAAAAAGCCGGCAGGCUGCUCAAAUCAUAAUGCUCUCUCCGUCUAUUGAUGUGAUGGGGUAGAUACAGGCUAAGCUCUGUUUCCAGCGGAUUAGGCGACUCGCUGUUAAAGCUAAAGUUGUUUAGGUUUAGAUACCUUGUGUUCGGAUGUUCUCGCCGCCACUGAUCUCACUCUGUAAGCCUGGAGAAGUUAAAUUUGCUUAAAUCAUUUGUCAGUGUGGACAGGGAAUUCUUGGAAACAUUCAAAUAGUUUAAUAUUUUUAUGAAAAAAGCUAAAUAAUUAAUUAAAGGGACACUAAACUUCCUGAUUUUUGGUGACUCCAGGGGGACUGGGUGAUGUAUGGGUUUAGAGGCAGAGCAGGAGAAAGAGAGCUGAUUGGCUGAGCUGCUGUAGCAGCAGCAGUGUGCCUCUGAUAGCAGUGAGACGCAAAUGGUUGGACAUCAGCAGGGAGGCGGUAUUAUUGAUUAAUUGAUCUGCAUAUUGUUAUGUGUCUGCAUACUAAGGUACACAGACACAUCAUCCAUGCCUAUACAAUAAAAGCAUUUUAAAAAAUGUAGGCA